CAUAAAAUCAGAUCGGGUCUAUCGGAGAACACCACACAAAAAUCUCCGCCAUAUAGUACUUUCUCCUGCUCUCUUUCUCUCCUUCUCAUUUGAGUUUUUCUUAAUUUGUUAGAUGUAGCCUCUACUGAUCUGUUUACCAUAUAUAUAUAUAUAUAUAUAUAUAUAUAUAUAUAUAUAUAUAUACCAACCAGCUUCUUGAUACCUUGGAACCAAAAAAGGAUAUAGAAGAAGAGAGAUAUAACAGUAAAAGAUACAUCGAUUGCGAUCGACGAGUGGCGGUCGGAGGCUCUGGGUGAGUGCGUUCCAUGCUAUGCUUGUCAAUUGAACAGUUCUUUUUUGCUGACUAACCUUUCUUUCAUUAUCUGUUCGACCUGCUUGAAUAAUAUAAGUUUAGCACUUACGGGAAAUGAAAAACCAUAACUAGUUGUUAAUCUCUGUUUGUUUUGCUGAACCAGACAACCAGUGAUGGGUAAGUGCCUCUUUCUUUUUCAUGAAAAAAUAACAAAGAAAGUAUAGUUAUCAUACCGUUCAGAACUUUACCCGUUUACUGGUUAAAUCACUUUGUUAUUAAAAAAUUAAUUAAUUAAAUAUUAUAUUUACUAACAAUAUUAUUUUUCAUUUUCCCUUAAUAUAUGUUAAUCCAAUGGGUAUAAUUUCAUAUGCACAGUGUUUAAAAAAAAAUCAUAUGCAUAGUAAAUAGGGGCCUGCUAAAUAAUUAUUUAGAAAAAAAUAAAAACUAAAAUACUUGCAUAUACACACCAUUCAUAAUUAGAAAAAUUUUCCUUAAUUUGUUCAUGGGAAUUAAUUAAAGAAAGAUUUUGCUUUGGUAAUUUGAACAAUAGGGCAAGUCUCUCCUUUGCCAUGCUUCCUCAUUUGUGUUGUAUGAGGUGAUCAGUAGAUAUGGGUUCUCUCACAAAUGAUUGGCAAAUGCAGACUCAAGAGGUAGGGAACUGGAAUUAUUAAGAUUAAUUCCGACUUUUAAAACAAAUUAUUAUAAGUCAAUUUAUCGUUAUUGUUUAUAUAAAAAAGCAAUAUUUUGAAUAUAUUCAUUUGUAGGCAUUAAAAAUAAAUUAAUUAAGUUAUUUUUUUUCAAAAAAGUAAUAUUAUAUUGAUAGUAUUGCUAGGAGUCGUGCUGAUGCAUGACUGAGACUAAUUCAAAUGGCCAGGACAGACAAUGUUUUGUCAUUUCCUGGUUUGCCUUUAGGCUUUGUUUUACAAGUGGGAGCAACAAUGUAAUGCAAAUUAAAUCACUUGAAUUUUGCAUUCUAUGGUACAAUUGAGGUAUAUCCAUACUUGCACAAUUGCUUGUUGGGGUUUGUUGUACUGUAAUUGAUCUGUACGUGGAGCUUCUGAAACCAAUAUGCUAUAUGGACCUUUUUGUUUGUAGCUAGGUUUAUUAGGGCCAAGUGAUCCAUCUCUGAGCUUGCCAAAUUUAAACGAACUUAUUAUUUUAAGGUCGAACAGGUAAUGAAAGCUGGGUAUUGGCUAAGAGACUGCUCAAUUUGCAAGGCUUUCCAUGGAAUUCGACGCCCCUUAUAGCUGCCCUUUGGCUCUUUUUUUUUUGCCAUUCCUUUCAAGAAGAAGGUAAGAGCAUAACAUUUCUAUUUUCUAGCAGAAACCAAAUUAUGUGGCUCCAGCUACGUUCUGAUGAAAUUGCAGAACGCUGAUCUUAUUUGCUUCCCGCAAAAGAAGAAGCCGGUGUAAGAAAAGAGUGUGUUCAAAACGGUGCGUUGGGUCCAUAAAUGAAACCGGGCGUUUUGUUAACACAAAACAAACCAUUCGAGAAGCACUGAUAAGAAGAUCCAGAGAAGCUGUGCAAUUGCAGAUGUAAAGGGUUCCGAGAAACAUUAUUUUGGCGGGAAGAUUAGUUAAUUAGCUGGCUGGAUAAUUCUAGAUAGUGUUGACUUUUCUCAUUCUUGUAAAGUAAUAUACAAGAGACAGUUAUUUGUACAGAUCAAAUCAGACGAAUGAGAAUCAUUUUUAUUCUCUUAUCUAUCAAGUUUUCUAGUUAGUUUCUAUUUUCGUUCAUGGUAUCAGAGCUCCGCUUUCCUGCGACUGAUUGCUGAUUCUAAUCUCAUCGAUUUGAUAGUUAGUUCAUCUGGAUUUGAUUGAAGAUGGCUGGAUCCAUGGCUCAUGAGAACUGAGAUCAGCUGUCGUUGCAGAGUUCUGAUCAUCCCAGUAUGAAUCUUGUAAAUGCUCCAUUAACCGGUUAAAUUUGGAGAAAUUUAGUGUAUUUUGAUUAGAGCAGCUAUUUGAAAGAAAUUAGAGUUGAAUUGCAAAAAUAUUUUGAAGUUGAGUUACCCGCGACACAACCGAUUCAGCUUAUGUCGUUUUUACUGAAAAUGGCUGACGUGGCAUUUUCGUUCCUCUGAUUUAAUACCUCACUUUCUCUGGAAUCUUCCAUCUUUUUACCCAUUCUAGGGUAGAUCUCUGAACCAUAUAAAAGCCCCUUUAUCUAUUUCUUUCCAUAAGGAGAGAAAGAGAGAGAUUUUUGGCAAGAAAGAAGGAGAGAAAGAAGGGCACGUCUGGUUUGGCAAGCAGCAGCAGAGGACAUUUCUGCAACUCUCCAGCAGCUGAUACUUCAUCAUUCUACUGGGUUUUUCUAUUCGUUAGAUUAGUUUUUCAAUAUUUCUUCAUUUCUACACUUGGGUUUGUCUUGAAACUAUGAUUUGUGAGUAGAUAUUUGAGAUUCUAGAGAUGGGUUUAUAAAUAUUGCUUUGUAUUGUGGUUUUGAACUGAUUUAGUCAUUUAAAUGAGAUUUGUUACAUUUUGAUUUA